rnacentral:lncRNA from 10 species
GGGGCUCGUGGGGAGUGGGAGGAAGCUGGGGAGAAGAUGAGUUGAGAGCAGUCCAGUGUGAGGGAAAGUGGGGAUCCUGGGCCAACUUACCAUUAAGAGGGUCCAGUCCUGUGACUGCUGUGAAGUAACCAGGAUUCCACAUAGAGAUGGGGCUCAAAGUCAGCCCAGGAGCAGCACUGUGGUCCCAGAACUAAUAUUUGGCGACUCCAAGGCCAGGGAUAAAAAUGAAGAGAUGGAGAGACAAGAUUUCCUGGCCUCUAAUUGGCAGCACCCGUUGACUCUGCUCGUGACCAGACUCAUGAACGCUUCAUCCAAGGUUUCAUGUCAUCCGUGUGAGGAACCUCUCUGAUUUGAGAAAAUCUUUCUUAAAAUGGGCUUCUAGUUGUAAAGCCAUUGUCUUUUUAGGAAAUCAUCAAAUACCUUAAAGCUAGACACGCAAUCAGCUGCAUAAAUGACACACUCACUAAAUCAAUCCUUUAUCAGAUGCAGCAUGGCCCUGUUGUGAACGGAAUGAUUGUGAACGGAAUGAUGGCCAAGGAGCUUUAUGCUUCUGCACCGCCAGCUCACACGAUGGUCCGUGUAUUGCCCCGUGGAAAACCGGGGGUGGAAAGCUGUCUCCACGUUCUGCUGCCGAAGCAGCAAGCUGAUUCACACAUCUUGAAGGCACAGUGGAACAUGGAAGGGUGCAUAUGAGACUUGAUUUUGAGGAUGAAACUUCCUGUCUGAAUCGCUAAGUCUCCCAGCAGGGGUGUUAAUGUCCCUGUGAGAUGCAGGCUUCCCACAGACACACCCAGGUUGCGAGUGGGUUCAACAUGGUCACAGGAGCUUCAAAUGGUAAGAUGGCAAGAUCUGGUAGCAUACUGAGACCACCAACCAGGAAUGGAGGCUUGCUCCCAAGUAACUAAACAUGGACUUGUCUCUGACACGGAAACAAUGUGAAACACAGAAGGCUUUUGAGACUCAGAGGCACUCCAACAAUGAUACUUGAAAACCAGAACAGAGUUUGACACAGAUGGAUGCUUUCCAAAUGUCAUGUCAUUUUUUCAUAUGUCAAGGGCGACCCAAUGUUUGCUUCCUGUUCCCUAGGUGGGUUUUCCAUGGGGACUGCUUCUAACCCCCAAUCCCCACACACUCCACCUGGGCUGAAACUGCUGCCUCUUUUCCAAUAUAUAGAAAGAAAUGUGGCUCCACCCUGCAUUUCCGUAAGACUCAGCUAGUUACAAAUUUAGAACCUUGGAAACAAUGAUAAAAC